rnacentral:rRNA from 1 species
GACGUAGGGGGCCAGCGUUGUUCGGAAUUACUGGGUGUAAAGGGCGCGUAGGCGGCGUGGUAAGUCACUUGUGAAAUCUCUGAGCUUAACCCAGAACGGCCAAGUGAUACUGCUGUGCUAGAGUGCAGAAGGGGCAAUCGGAAUUCUUGGUGUAGCGGUGAAAUGCGUAGAUAUCAAGAGGAACACCUGAGGUGAAGACGGGUUGCUGGGCUGACACUGACGCUGAGGCGCGAAAGCCAGGGGAGCAAACGGG